rnacentral:rRNA from 1 species
UGAACGCUGGCGGCGUGCCUAACACAUGCAAGUCGAACGGAGUUAUCGCUGAUGAAGCUUCGGCAGAAUCUGAAUAACUUAGUGGCGGACGGGUGAGUAACGCGUGGGUAACCUGCCUCAUACAGGGGGAUAGCAGUUGGAAACGACUGAUAACACCGCAUAAGCGCACAGUGUCGCAUGACACAGUGUGAAAAUAUUUAUAGGUAUGAGAUGGACCCGCGUCUGAUUAGCUAGUUGGUGAGGUAACGGCCCACCAAGGCGACGAUCAGUAGCCGGCCUGAGAGGGCGGACGGCCACAUUGGGACUGAGACACGGCCCAAACUCCUACGGGAGGCAGCAGUGGGGGAUAUUGCACAAUGGGCGAAAGCCUGAUGCAGCGGCGCCGCCGUGAGUGAAGAAGUAUUUCGGUAUGUAAAGCUCUAUCAGCAGGGAAGAAAGACCUCGUAAGAGGGGAUGACGGUACCUGAGUAAGAAGCCCCGGCUAACUACGUGCCAGCCGCUGC